AUCUCUGUAGCUCAGUGGCAGAAAACUGGGCUUAUAAACCAGGGGUCAUGAGUUCAAUCCUCACAGGAAACU